rnacentral:rRNA from 2 species
UCAUCUUCGGGGGUAGAGCACUGUUUCGGCUAGGGGGCCAUCCCGGCUUACCAACCCGAUGCAAACUACGAAUACCGAAGAAUGUUAUCACGGGAGACACACGGCGGGUGCUAACGUCCGUCGUGAAGAGGGAAACAACCCAGACCGCCAGCUAAGGUCCCAAAGUCAUGGUUAAGUGGGAAACGAUGUGGGAAGGCACAGACAGCCAGGAUGUUGGCUUAGAAGCAGCCAUCAUUUAAAGAAAGCGUAAUAGCUCACUGGUCGAGUCGGCCUGCGCGGAAGAUGUAACGGGGCUAAACCAUGCACCGAAGCUGCGGCAGCGACACUUAUGUGUUGUUGGGUAGGGGAGCGUUCUGUAAGCCGUUGAAGGUGUGCUGUGAGGCAUGCUGGAGGUAUCAGAAGUGCGAAUGCUGACAUAAGUAACGAUAAAGCGGGUGAAAAGCCCGCUCGCCGGAAGACCAAGGGUUCCUGUCCAACGUUAAUCGGGGCAGGGUGAGUCGACCCCUAAGGCGAGGCCGAAAGGCGUAGUCGAUGGGAAACAGGUUAAUAUUCCUGUACUUGGUGUUACUGCGAAGGGGGGACGGAGAAGGCUAUGUCAGCCGGGCGACGGUUGUCCCGGUUUAAGCAUGUAGGCGGAGGUUCCAGGUAAAUCCGGUACCUUGUUAACGCUGAGGUGUGAUGACGAGGCACUACGGUGCUGAAGUGAUAAAUGCCCUGCUUCCAGGAAAAGCCUCUAAGCAUCAGGUAACACGAAAUCGUACCCCAAACCGACACAGGUGGUCAGGUAGAGAAUACCAAGGCGCUUGAGAGAACUCGGGUGAAGGAACUAGGCAAAAUGGUGCCGUAACUUCGGGAGAAGGCACGCUGAUAUGUAGGUGAAGCCCCUGCGGGCGGAGCUGAAAUCAGUCGAAGAUACCAGCUGGCUGCAACUGUUUAUUAAAAACACAGCACUGUGCAAACACGAAAGUGGACGUAUACGGUGUGACGCCUGCCCGGUGCCGGAAGGUUAAUUGAUGGGGUUAGCGGCAACGCGAAGCUCUUGAUCGAAGCCCCGGUAAACGGCGGCCGUAACUAUAACGGUCCUAAGGUAGCGAAAUUCCUUGUCGGGUAAGUUCCGACCUGCACGAAUGGCGUAAUGAUGGCCAGGCUGUCUCCACCCGAGACUCAGUGAAAUUGAACUCGCUGUGAAGAUGCAGUGUACCCGCGGCAAGACGGAAAGACCCCGUGAACCUUUACUAUAGCUUGACACUGAACACUGGUCCUUGAUGUGUAGGAUAGGUGGGAGGCUUUGAAGCGUGGACGCCAGUCUGCGUGGAGCCGUCCUUGAAAUACCACCCUUUAAUGGCUGGUGUUCUAACGUAGACCCGUGAUCCGGGUUGCGGACAGUGUCUGGUGGGUAGUUUGACUGGGGCGGUCUCCUCCCAAAGAGUAACGGAGGAGCACGAAGGUUGGCUAAUCCUGGUCGGACAUCAGGAGGUUAGUGCAAUGGCAUAAGCCAGCUUGACUGCGAGCGUGACGGCGCGAGCAGGUGCGAAAGCAGGUCAUAGUGAUCCGGUGGUUCUGAAUGGAAGGGCCAUCGCUCAACGGAUAAAAGGUACUCCGGGGAUAACAGGCUGAUACCGCCCAAGAGUUCAUAUCGACGGCGGUGUUUGGCACCUCGAUGUCGGCUCAUCACAUCCUGGGGCUGAAGUAGGUCCCAAGGGUAUGGCUGUUCGCCAUUUAAAGUGGUACGCGAGCUGGGUUUAGAACGUCGUGAGACAGUUCGGUCCCUAUCUGCCGUGGGCGCUGGAGAAUUGAGGGGGGCUGCUCCUAGUACGAGAGGACCGGAGUGGACGCAUCACUGGUGUUCGGGUUGUCAUGCCAAUGGCACUGCCCGGUAGCUAAAUGCGGAAGAGAUAAGUGCUGAAAGCAUCUAAGCACGAAACUUGCCCCGAGAUGAGUUCUCCCUGAGACCUUGAGUCUCCUGAAGGAACGUUGAAGACGACGACGUUGAUAGGUCGGGUGUGUAAGCGCAGCGAUGCGUUGAGCUAACCGAUACUAAUGAACCGUGAGGCUUAACCUU